CACACACACACACACACACACACACACACACGCCACACACAGAGUUUAUUAUUAAAGUAAGUUAAUAAUAAACAGGAACCAUUUUGUAUAAGUAGCUAUAUACUUUAUUAACUCUAACGCCAUCUAGACUGCAUGAGUGACAAGAGAGUUACAGGGUCAAAGCCACACACCAUGAUUGCCCACACUGAGGGUUCUGUCUACAGAACAGAAAAGUUAGCUUGCUUGAGGAAUAUUCUGAGGUGUUGUAUUGCACUACCUAGAGAAUUCUCUCCCUUCCUUGAUGUUUCUGUGUAUGUAUGUGAUAUUCUGGAAACUGAGCAUAGGGCCUGUGAGGUAGGUACUGUACCACCAAGCCAUAUCCCUAGCCCAGUAAGAAGAAACUUAGAAUCCCAGCCACACAAAGCUGGGUGUGUGAGCACCUAUGAUCCUAGCACUUGAGACACUGAGGCCAUGCUGGAUUCCAAAGUACCAUGCUAGCCAGGGCUGUUCUGCAGGGCGCUGGCUGCUUCACAGAGCAAAACAGCAACAAAACUUAGAUUUCGGCAGCACAAGCUUGUAGCAAGAUAAGAACUGGUACUUUAUGUGGCUUACUCAUACUCAUAGAAAGGUUGGACCAAGGCUCUGCUGGGUCAUGGAGCAGACAUAACAGAGCAUCAGAGUAUCUGGGCCUGGUAAGAUAGUGCGGCUGUAAUCCCAGCAGGACUAGGUAGGAGGAUUGAGAAUUAGAGGACAUCCUGGGCUACAGAGUCAGACUCUGUCUCAAAACCAAAACAGCAUCGGAUGAGCUGAGCAUGUUGGUCUGCAGGUCUGAAAAAGAAGACAGCCAGAGCUUGGCUGUAGUGGAGAAGUAAAUUCAUUUAAGUUUAUGUACAAGUGAGGAUCAUGUCAGUAGAUAACCUGGGGCAGUUCCUUAUAAAAUGGGGCUGUGGACAUUUUCCAUUCACUUUAUGGGAAGACACAACUAGUGCCUGCAUUGAUCACACAACACUGUUAUUAAGGUGGGCUUCAGUUCAUGCACACAUGUGCUGUGUCCUUUUCUCUCUUAAAAGAAAACAACUAAAUAACAGUGUAAGUUAUGUGGCUAAGCAGAGAUUCUAAUGUUGUCCCAAACUAGGGUUUUAUAAAUUCUGACUCAAUUUAUCCUAAAAGUCAGAACUUUUUCCAAGCUGAGGUUCAGAGUGAGGCAUUACCAUGGCUGGGGCUGUAGCUCCAUACUAGAGCCUUUGCCUGCCACGUGUGAGGGCUGGGGUAGGAUCCUCAGCUCUGGGAGAGGGCAGCGCUUCUCCCUCUCUGUCACUGACUUGUGUGACAGGACAACCCCUGGCCUGUUGGAAUUGUUCUCUAGAUCAUUUCUUCCACCUCAAAAAAUGGUGCCUAUCACCUUGAGAACCAGCGUGACAAGGUGGGCUACUCAGUGAGUCCCUGAAGUAGGAGGCUGCUGGUCGGAGGUGCAGAAAGUCUAGAGCAAUAAAUACCUUAGGCUCUCCAUCCGCACUCCCACCCCGUAACACUCCCAAGACAAAUGAUAGGGAAUCGAGUUUCUCAUUUCCUUUGUGAGCAGCGAGACAGAAGGCUUCUGCUGUAUCCCUGACAGUAAGAAAGGUUAGCAACCCAGACCACAAACUCCCAAGUUAUCUGCCUGGUCUGUAUUGUUCAUUUGGAAGAGAUCUCAGUUCAGCAUUUGUUUGGGGCUCGCUGGAGCUGUACUCUAACACAGUUUUCCAUUUUUGCAGGUACUGGUUUUGGAUUAGGAAUGGUUUUCUCCCUCACCUUCUUUAAGAGUAAGUGAUUUUGACUGGUUCCUCACUAUACUGUCUGUGUGCAAACCCUGCCAACCUGUCCGCUGUAGAAUGAGCUAGAGGGAGCAUGUGGAUGAAGUGUGCAUGAGUUGGACAUCUCCAGAGUUCCCUGGAGGCAAUGAGUCAGGGUUGUCUGGUGUCUUAAACAUGACAUCCUUUCAAAAGCCUCCAUUUCAUGCUGGCCAGGCUGCAUGGCCACAUAUUUCUAAAGUGACCUGGAGAUGUGGCUUGCUGGCAGUAACAGCAAGUGGGCCAGAAAUGUCCCUGCUUCUUCCCGAGAGUCUAAGCAAUGUCAAGCAGGUUCCCUUCUUGGGAAAACCUGAAGUCUGAGUAUUGACUAGAAGCCAAACAGGUCACCUUGACCUCUUUCCAUGAAGAACUGACAAGGACUAGAACUAGAGAAUUGUGGAUGUGAGUGAGCUCCAUGGUUUACUGUGUGUAACCAAAGUUUGUGAAUGUUGGUGAAAUUAAUAAUUAAACAAUUCAAGCACCUGACCAGUAGAUACCCCUUCUGACAAGGCUAAGAAACUAUAGUUGAGGUGCACAAAUGACAGGCUGGGCUGUUUGCAUCAAAUGUAGCAGCCUGGGCACCUAAUAAAUGUGCUUCAUUAUCGUGUUGCAUGCUGGCCUGUCACAUGUUAGCAGUACAGUGUCCGCUGAGGAUUUGUGAGCACUCAUGGGGCGGAGGCUUUAUCUGCCCUUACCAAUUCCCUGUUGGGAUUUCUCUUCUUCUGCUCAAUAGGAAGAAAGUGGCCAUUAGCCUUUGGUUCUGGCGUGGGACUGGGGAUGGCCUACUCCAACUGUCAGCAUGACUUUCAGGCUCCAUAUCUUCUACAUGGAAAAUAUGUCAAAGAGCAGUGACUUAUGCUGAGAACAUCCCAGCGGGAGAAAAGAGAAGCCUCAUUUAUUCCUCAGGAAUACUGAAGUGCCCUGGAGUGCGCUGACGUCCUGUGACAGUGCCAUCAGCAACGCUUUCAACUCCAGCCACUGUUUAUGUGUUUGAAACCAAGUCUGUUGCUUUUGUAUCAUCUCUUUGGAAAUUGUAAGGAGGUCUUAAAUAAAUGAGAAACAGGAAGCCCGAUGCAAGGCCUGUAUUCCUUUAUGUUGCAGAAGGCUUCUCUUUGAACGGCCUAGCUGUGGCCUCUGUGACCUCCUGAGGAUACAGGCACGUCCUCCCCACUCCCCUAAUGCACAGUUGUCCUUCCCACCCCAACUCCAAGACUGGUGGCACUGCUCCCUGUGUGAUGUGACAGGGUGAAGUCUCCAGGGGCACCUUCCUGAUGGUGUGCUUGGCCUGUGCCCUGGCUCACGCCUGCUGUGCCGAGGUCUGCUCCACUGACGUCAGUCCCUGUGCUGCGUGGAGCACUGACUGACAGUGUGGAGCUGGUGGCCACAGCCUGGAUGGAAGGACAGGCAGGCUGAGGUCUGAGAACAAAUGGC
ensembl:lncRNA Micos10 mitochondrial contact site and cristae organizing system subunit 10